rnacentral:lncRNA from 1 species
UCCAUUACACAAUAUCCGUAUAGGAUAACAGCUUCAUAUACAUUUGCUACACAACCCACAUAGACCCUAACCUGCUUUUCAAUAUCAUGUUCAAAUUCAAAGCAGUUCAUCUACUGCCGCAACCCAAAAUAAAGUCAAUCGUCAAUUGCAUUUUUAUUUUUCUUCCACUCAACACACGUUUCCGUUGCGCAACUCUGAUUUAUUUAGUAAGUAGCUUAUUGACCAUAAUCCAUAAUACCCACAUAUUUUACUCUCUAAAGUUUCAAGUUAUCAAC